rnacentral:rRNA from 1 species
UACAGAGGGGGCUAGCGUUGUUCGGAAUUACUGGGCGUAAAGGGCGCGUAGGCGGCGCAACAAGUCACUUGUGAAAUCUCCGGGCUUAACCCGGAGCGGCCAAGUGAUACUGUCGUGCUAGAGUGCGGAAGGGGCUACUGGAAUUCUCGGUGUAGCGGUGAAAUGCGUAGAUAUCGAGAGGAACACCUGCGGCGAAGGCGGGUUGCUGGGCUGACACUGACGCUGAGGCGCGAAAGCUAGGGGAGCGAACGGG